rnacentral:rRNA from 1 species
GAUGAACGCUGGCGGCGUGCCUAAUACAUGCAAGUCGAGCGAACGGACGAGAAGCUUGCUUCUCUGAUGUUAGCGGCGGACGGGUGAGUAACACGUGGAUAACCUACCUAUAAGACUGGGAUAACUUCGGGAAACCGGAGCUAAUACCGGAUAAUAUUUUGAACCGCAUGGUUCAAAAGUGAAAGACGGUCUUGCUGUCACUUAUAGAUGGAUCCGCGCUGCAUUAGCUAGUUGGUAAGGUAACGGCUUACCAAGGCAACGAUGCAUAGCCGACCUGAGAGGGUGAUCGGCCACACUGGAACUGAGACACGGUCCAGACUCCUACGGGAGGCAGCAGUAGGGAAUCUUCCGCAAUGGGCGAAAGCCUGACGGAGCAACGCCGCGUGAGUGAUGAAGGUCUUCGGAUCGUAAAACUCUGUUAUUAGGGAAGAACAUAUGUGUAAGUAACUGUGCACAUCUUGACGGUACCUAAUCAGAAAGCCACGGCUAACUACGUGCCAGCAGCCGCGGUAAUACGUAGGUGGCAAGCGUUAUCCGGAAUUAUUGGGCGUAAAGCGCGCGUAGGCGGUUUUUUAAGUCUGAUGUGAAAGUCCACGGCUCAUUCGUGGAGGGUCAUUGGAAACUGGAAAACUUGAGUGCAGAAGAGGAAAGUGGAAUUCCAUGUGUAGCGGUGAAAUGCGCAGAGAUAUGGAGGAACACCAGUGGCGAAGGCGACUUUCUGGUCUGUAACUGACGCUGAUGUGCGAAAGCGUGGGGAUCAAACAGGAUUAGAUACCCUGGUAGUCCACGCCGUAAACGAUGAGUGCUAAGUGUUAGGGGGUUUCCGCCCCUUAGUGCUGCAGCUAACGCAUUAAGCACUCCGCCUGGGGAGUACGACCGCAAGGUUGAAACUCAAAGGAAUUGACGGGGACCCGCACAAGCGGUGGAGCAUGUGGUUUAAUUCGAAGCAACGCGAAGAACCUUACCAAAUCUUGACAUCCUUUGACAACUCUAGAGAUAGAGCCUUCCCCUUCGGGGGACAAAGUGACAGGUGGUGCAUGGUUGUCGUCAGCUCGUGUCGUGAGAUGUUGGGUUAAGUCCCGCAACGAGCGCAACCCUUAAGCUUAGUUGCCAUCAUUAAGUUGGGCACUCUAAGUUGACUGCCGGUGACAAACCGGAGGAAGGUGGGGAUGACGUCAAAUCAUCAUGCCCCUUAUGAUUUGGGCUACACACGUGCUACAAUGGACAAUACAAAGGGCAGCGAAACCGCGAGGUCAAGCAAAUCCCAUAAAGUUGUUCUCAGUUCGGAUUGUAGUCUGCAACUCGACUACAUGAAGCUGGAAUCGCUAGUAAUCGUAGAUCAGCAUGCUACGGUGAAUACGUUCCCGGGUCU